AUUGAACGCUGGCGGCAGGCCUAACACAUGCAAGUCGAGCGGAUGAAGGGAGCUUGCUCCUGGAUUCAGCGGCGGACGGGUGAGUAAUGCCUAGGAAUCUGCCUGGUAGUGGGGGAUAACGUCCGGAAACGGGCGCUAAUACCGCAUACGUCCUGAGGGAGAAAGUGGGGGAUCUUCGGACCUCACGCUAUCAGAUGAGCCUAGGUCGGAUUAGCUAGUUGGUGGGGUAAAGGCCUACCAAGGCGACGAUCCGUAACUGGUCUGAGAGGAUGAUCAGUCACAAUGGAACUGAGACACGGGCCAGACGCCUACGGGAGGCAGCAGUGGGGAAUAUUGGACAAUGGGCGAAAGCCUGAGCCAGCCAUGCCGCGUGUGUGAAGAAGGUCUUCGGAUUGUAAAGCACUUUAAGUUGGGAGGAAGGGCAGUAAGUUAAUACCUUGCUGUUUUGACGGUACCAACAGAAGAAGCACCGGCUAACUUCGUG
rnacentral:rRNA from 1 species